rnacentral:lncRNA from 1 species
AUACUAAGGACACCUAAAAGAUACAUAGAGACAACCAUGGACAGGAAAUUGCACGGCAUAUGGGACUGCACUUUGAAAUGUGGUGGGAGCAAUGACCACUUCAAAGGGCUAUAACUCCAUACAAGCAAUGCCUACAUCAGUUGAAAGGACUCAGGGAAUGAAACCCUAUAAGGAGUAUAGCCAGACAACCAGAAUGCACUGUUCUUUUGAUUAAUUAUUGGAUCCCAACAAGGGUGUUUCCAGAUCAUGAGAUGAAGUCACCCAGGGACUAGAAUUCAAUUCUUUCUUCCUUAGCCAAGUGCCAGCCAGAGCCAAUUGCCAGACGGCAUUUCCAACAUCUCCCAUGUGGCAUAGACAAACACCGCUCUAAUAUCUGAUUUUACUUCAAAGUUUAUUCACUAAAAGACUGACACCUUUUAAAAAGACCUGACCUUUUAAAAACAUCCCAGGAAGGCCCUUUGAAAGUUUGGUGAAAUACAGGCCUGAUUCUAGAAUGUAGUUCCAUGAGGGCAGAGAUACUGGUUUUCAUUUUGUACCCUGAUAUAUUUCAAGGACCGAGAAUACUGUCUGGUACAUAAUUGAUGCUCAGUAAAUAUUUUUUGUAAAUUAUUCUGGCCUGUCCUAAUUUCAUAUAAUCUCAUAUAGCUGUUCUUUUCAAUAAAGAUGAUUUGUCAAAUUUGUCAACUGCAUGUUACUUCAUUUUUGUUCCUUUGUAAGGCUUUUCAUGUAUAUAAAUUCCUCUCCCAAAAACCCGUGGUUAGACCAUCUAACCAAGUUUUGGUUUAGGAGAUAUGGUUAUCCCACUUAAAACACACACCCGAUGAAUCUUGACCAAUAAACCAAGAAUUAGCUUUGGAAAAAUAAGCGGCUUAAAAGUGCACAAGCUGGAUACAGUUUCUAGUCUCUAGAAAGUCUUUCCAACUGGAGCGGUUCUGAUUUUCUGGCUCCAAGCCAGGCAGGCUGAGAACACAGGGCUUGCCCUCCCUGGCCGGCUUCUGGAAAGACCAGGCGGACCUAAGAAAGGCUCUGGCACUUGUCUCGUCAACUCUUGCCUAGAGCUCUGCUGAGUUGUUUUAUCCUAAAGCUCCUGGCAGGGCCCUCCCGGGGCAGAGGCCAAACAUUAACAAAUUGAAUUCAUGUGGGCAGGCCUUGCUCAAGAUGACUCAUUUGAUACAGCUGAGAGACGGCAAGUGGCGCUCCUGCCUCCACAUUGGAGGGCUGUAUAACUUCCGGUCUAUAGAACUGUGUG